UACGUAGGGGGCAAGCGUUGUCCGGAAUCAUUGGGCGUAAAGAGCUUGUAGGCGGUUCGGUUAGUCGGGUGUGAAACCUCUGGGCUCAACUCAGAGACGCCACCCGAUACUGCUGUGACUAGAGUGCGGUAGGGGAGCGGGGAAUUCCUGGUGUAGCGGUGAAAUGCGCAGAUAUCAGGAGGAACACCAAUAGCGAAGGCAGCUCGCUGGGACGUUACUGACACUGAGGCGCGAAAGCGUGGGGAGCGAACAGG
rnacentral:rRNA from 1 species